UACGUAGGGUGCGAGCGUUAAUCGGAAUUACUGGGCGUAAAGCGUGCGCAGGCGGUUUUGUAAGUCAGAUGUGAAAUCCCCGGGCUCAACCUGGGAACUGCGUUUGAAACUACAAGGCUAGAGUGUAGCAGAGGGGGGUGGAAUUCCACGUGUAGCAGUGAAAUGCGUAGAGAUGUGGAGGAACACCGAUGGCGAAGGCAGCAAACUGGUCAUCAACUGACGCUGAGGCGCGAAAGCGUGGGUAGCAAACAGG
rnacentral:rRNA from 1 species